rnacentral:rRNA from 1 species
UUUAAUUGAAGAGUUUGAUCAUGGCUCAGAUUGAACGCUGGCGGCAGGCCUAACACAUGCAAGUCGAACGGUAACAGAGAGCAGCUUGCUGCUCUGCUGACGAGUGGCGGACGGGGGAGUACAGGAUG